rnacentral:tRNA from 1 species
CGCCCAUCGUCUAGCGGUUAGGACGCCGCCCUUUCACGGCGGAAACAGGGGUUCGAUUCCCCCCCUUGGGCG